GACGGGUAUCCGGCCUGAGAGGGUGAUCGGACACACUGGAACUGAGACACGGUCCAGACUCCUACGGGAGGCAGCAGUAGGGAAUAUUGCUCAAUGGGGGAAACCCUGAAGCAGCAACGCCGCGUGGAGGAUGAAGGUUUUAGGAUUGUAAACUCCUUUUGUGAGAGAAGAUUAUGACGGUAUCUCACGAAUAAGCACCGGCUAACUCCGUGCCAGCAGCCGCGGUAAUACGGAGGGUGCAAGCGUUACUCGGAAUCACUGGGCGUAAAGAGUGCGCAGGCGGGGUGGUAAGUCAGAUGUGAAAUCCUGUAGCUUAACUACAGAACUGCAUUUGAAACUAUCACUCUA
rnacentral:rRNA from 1 species